GACGAACGCUGGCGGCGUGCUUAACACAUGCAAGUCGAACGGAAAGGCCCUGCUUUUGUGGGGUGCUCGAGUGGCGAACGGGUGAGUAACACGUGAGUAACCUGCCCUUGACUUUGGGAUAACUUCAGGAAACUGGGGCUAAUACCGGAUAGGAGCUCCUGCUGCAUGGUGGGGGUUGGAAAGUUUCGGCGGUUGGGGAUGGACUCGCGGCUUAUCAGCUUGUUGGUGGGGUAGUGGCUUACCAAGGCUUUGACGGGUAGCCGGCCUGAGAGGGUGACCGGCCACAUUGGGAAUGAGAUACGGCCCAGACUCCUACGGGAGGCAGGAGGGGGGAAUAUUGCAACAUGGGCGGAAGCCUGAUGCAGCAACGCCGCGUGCGGGAUGACGGCCUUCGGGUUGUAAACCGCUUUCGCCUGUGACGAAGCGUGAGUGACGGUAAUGGGUAAAGAAGCACCGGCUAACUACGUG
rnacentral:rRNA from 1 species